AUACCUAUAUCACAGUUUGUUAACAUAAAGUGAAUAGCAAAAGAAUAGCAAUGUUUCUAGAAAUUAGUAGGUUGGUGCCCUGUGUGCUUCUCCUUACUUUCAGGUAAAUCAAACCCACAGAGGUAAUCUGUUUUAGCGUACAGUAUAUCAUUAUCUGCAGCAGAUAGUGUCUUCUCGGGAAUGAAAUAGGAUGCCUCAUUUGUCUGCUGCAUGCUCAGAUGAAGCCAGUCUCAGUAAAGUGAGAUAAUUGACAAAACAAAUAAACAUAAAAAAAACAACCUGCGGCAUUUAUAGAUCCUCAUUUUCUCACUUGCAUCCUUUCAGCAUUUUUCACCAUUUCCUGUGUGAUUUCGUAUGACCUUCCUUUCUCUGUGUUCUGUCCUCCUGCCCUCCAUCUCCCCCCUUUCUCCUUUGUAACCCUUGUGCUAUCCUAGGCACUUUACCAUUGGGAGUUGGGUCAUCUAGACCCACAAGACAGUCCGCUGAACCUUUUUCCUUCAAUGAUUUGUGAUCCUCAAUGGUGUCCAUGGAUUACAUAAAAUCUUUCCACCUUUAUCCACCUUUGUCAUGGUAGGGAGAACAGGUGAAAGUAAGGGUGGGGUCAUCUAACAUAGCACAAGGGUUAAGUAAUAAACCCAGAGUGCUGAGCUGUGUUCACUCCACAUUUCUCACCCCCUGUUCCAGCAGAAAUGAUGUCCUGCAAAGCUUCAUCCCACCUUUGACCUCACAGCAGACAAUUCAGAGGAUUCCGCUGAGCAGGGGAAGAGGAAUGAUGAAUUAAAAAGCUCUAUGUCUGCAAGGCCAACAGAGACGGGCACCGUGACGCAUUCUGCAAAAACGUUUCUGCAGCAUUACACGACAAGCAGUUUGAUGGCCGCAUGAAUUUGGUAGGGCUAAAUCUGAAUCUUCCUUGACCUUUCGGUUGCCAUAUGGGAGCUAUUAGGAAAGAAUUUCAGGACAUUUCACAGGCCGACCUCCGUCGUUCUCCUUCUGGUUCUUCACUUCAGAGCGGUCUGGGGUUAGCCACCAUCAGUAUCUGGGCUCUGGGGUCUCGUCACAUGGUCCAAGGUCAUCCCAAGCUUACAAGAUGCUAACUGCCAAAGACAAUGGGCAAUUUCGUGCUCAAAUUCCUGUUUUACUAUUAUAUCUUUCAAUCACACUUUCAAAAUCUCUCCUUAUUGAAAUGUGAAUGUACUUGAAGUUGUGGCAUGUGGGGAGAAGAAGCACUGAAGCAUGUGUGUGGGGUGUUUUCCCUACAUGUUUGCACACUGGAAUUAUUGCUUUGGAUGUUGUUAUUCUUUUGUAUGGGUGGAGAUGCUUAAUACAGCCUUAAAGCUUAUACAGCAUUAACCCUUGUACUAUCUUAGAUGACCCCAUCCUUCCAUUGAAGUGUUCCCCCUACCAUGACAAAGGUGGAUAAAGGUGGAAAAUUUCAUGUAAUCCUUGGACACCAGUGAAGAUCACAAAUCAUUUAAGAAAAAAGGUUCAGAGCACUGUCUAGUGGGUCUAGAUGACCCAACUCCCAAUGGUAAAGUGCCUAGUAUAACACAAGUGUUACAGAAGAGGACUUGUGAAAGUGGUUAAAUAAAUUCUGUAUAGCGUACAAGUUCACCACAGUUUAACACAAGUUAAAAUAGUGUGAAUAUAUAUUGAUGUAAAUGUUUCAGAUUUUAGUCAUGUGAAUUGGAUAUAGCUGAAUUGUCACAUCAUGGCAGUUUAAGAGCAGGAACUAACCAAUGAUCAAAUAUCCUUCUCUGCAGUGGUAGGUAACACAACACAGAUUAUUAUUCUGUGCUACAGGCUUUGUGCGGGCUCUUCCGGCAGCAUGAAUGAUUGAAUAGAGACCUGUAAUUCAUACAGAGGGCUUGGUUCUCAGGAUGACGGUAAGCAACCUGAUACUGUGUCGAGAACAACUCAGCUCCUCUACUUCAUAGCUCAGAUUUCUGUCCUUCCCAAGAAAGUACUGUUUCCUCAACUAAAAAAAACAUACAUUCGUAAUAUUUGAAAAUAAAUUAAUAGCCAUCAUACUUUGAUGCAAACCUGUGAACUGUUUUAUGUUCUUUUCAUUACUUUUAGUUUCUAAUGUAUGCUAAGAAAUAAUGUCUAAUAAAAGAUGAUUUAAUAAAAUAACAAAUAUAAGAUUAUUUAUUAUUAAAGUUGCACACAUGGAAGAAAUCUUUAAUGAAAAACCAUCAAACAGAAACAGAGGUGUUGUCGUAACCCAAGGCAACUGCUUUUGUGUCAUCUGAAAUCUUGGACAGCUCCUGCUGUCCAGGACUGUGCAACAUCAUUGGCUGGUUGAAUGAAUGACUUGCAGACUUGUUGAUGUAUUAUGCAUCCCAUUCCUCUUCAGGGUGUUCUUGAGCCCAUUCUCAGGUAAACACAGCAGAGGCAGCCUGACAGGUAACCAGUUACGGGGAAGCGUGAACCAAAGGAACGUUUAUCUUGUGGUAAGUUAGUAUAGGUUGGAUUCUUUUAGUUUAAACAUUUUUGUCAAGAAUAUUCUGUCAACAUUUUGCAUUUAUUUCCCAAUUUCAUGGGUAAAAGUUG
ensembl:lncRNA